GGUAGGAUGGACGAGUGGUUUAAGUCGACAGAUUUAAGUUCCGCAGAUUAUCUGCGCUUGAACUUCCUGUUGCCGUUAUGGCGCGUGGGUUCGAACCCCACUCCUACCA
rfam:Sphaerobolus stellatus SS14 unplaced genomic scaffold SPHSTscaffold_35, whole genome shotgun sequence.